GCUGCUCUCUUCCUGUGAAGUGAGCGGGCAGCCCAGGUACAUGCCGUGCCGUAAGCGUUGCGUCAGGAGAGGACAGGAGGCCAUCUCCUCUGGAAGGUGCUCUUGUCUAUCAGUUCUCGUGCCCAGCUUGCUGCUUCUGCUCUCCAGGAAGCUGUUGGGAGAUGAGAGAGGUGGGAACCCAGCUCCAUGACACUGAUGGGGAGAGCCUGUGGAUCUCAACUGCAGGGCUUAUCAAAAUGGACGCCAGCUCACGCACAUCUACCCUUGGCAUCAUGACUGCGCUCUGGACAGACUGGCCUUUCCAAGCCCUGAGGAACGUUCCAUGCUGGCAAGAGGAAUGUCCCCAUCUCUGCUGAGACCUGAUGGAGGCUCUUCUGUGACUGUGCAGAUCUGGUGCAGAGCCUCCCCAGAUGAAAAGCUUUUCUUGCCACUGACCUUUUUGAGCUCCAUG